rnacentral:rRNA from 1 species
UAAUACGUAGGCAGCAAGCGUUGUUCGGAGUUACUGGGCGUAAAGGGUGUGUAGGCGGUUCCCUAAGUUUGGUGUGAAAUCUCCCGGCUCAACUGGGAGGGUGCGCCGAAAACUGGGGAGCUAGAGUGCGGGAUGGGUAAGUGGAAUUCCUGGUGUAGCGGUGAAAUGCGUAGAUAUCAGGAGGAACACCUGUGGUGUAGACGGCUUACUGGACCGCAACUGACGCUGAGACACGAAAGCGUGGGUAGCAAACAGGAUUAGAUACCCUGGUAGUCCACGCCCUAAACGAUGCAUAUUUGGUGUGGGCCAUUCAUUUGGUCUGUGCCGGAGCUAACGCGUUAAAUAUGCCGCCUGGGGAGUACGGUCGCAAGGCUG